AAAAGAAACUAUUAGAUGGAUGACUCGGCUUGAGAGGCGAUGAAGGGCGUGGCAAGCUACGAAAUGCUAUGGCGAGGCGCAUGCAGCCAUUGAACCAUAGAUUCCUGAAUGAGACUUCUUGUCUUUUUAGACAGUCCGAAAGGACGGCGCACCCGGGGAAGUAAAGCGUUACAGUACCCGGAGGAAAAGAAAUCAAACGAGAUGCUGUUAGUAAGGGCGACUGAACACAGCAAAGGGCAAACUGAAUCUUGCUAGAAAUAGUUAAGAGAUGUGGUGUUGCAGGACUUGUUUUUAGCCUUAACCAUAUGAUUCAAAGUCUGCUGGAAAGCAGUACCUUAGAGGGUGAUAGUCCCGUAGAAGUAAUAUGAAAGGUGUACAAGUAUCCUGAGUAGAAUGCAUUGGAAAUUGCGUUUGAAACUGGGAGGCAUCAACUCCCAACCCUAAAUACAACUCAAGUCCGAUAGAGUAUAGUACAGUGAUGGAACGUUGAAAAGAACUCUUAACAGAGAGUUAAAAGAGCCUGAAAUCUAAUAGUGAUAGAGUGAUACGGCCCUCAGGGGUUGUAUCGUACGUUUCGAAUAACGGGCCAAGGAGUUCAUCUCUGUGGCAAGGGUAAUUGCUUACGGCAAGCACCCAAAGGGAAACCAAUUGUCCGCAGCUUCGGCGAGGGACAUGGUAUUAACUUGCCACAAGUCACAGGGAUGUUACCCGAAACCGGUCGAUCUAACCUACAGCAGGAUGAAGCGAACCUGACGGUUUGUGGAGGUCCGAAGCGGUGCUGUGUGCAUGCGUUCGUAUGACUGUUGGUUAGGGGUGAAAAGCCAAUCGAGAUCGGUAAUAGCUGGUUCCUGCCGAAAUAAGCCUAAGUUUAGUCUCGAUGGAGAUGCCCUAUGCGGUAGAGCCACGGAUUUGUGAGUUUGGGGGAGAAAUCCUUCGCUUACUUGUUCAACUCCAAACGUGUAGGGAUCGUAGAAGUCGGGAAAAAGGGGCGCUGGGGUAAACUUGCGUCUCUAUGGGGGAACAACCCUCUCUAUGGUUAAGGUCCCAAAGUAUUUGCUAAGUGUUAAAGGGCGAAGGGUGUGCAUCACCCGAGACAGAUGGGAGGUAUGCUUAGAAGCAGCAAUCCUUUAAAGAAAGCGUAAUAGCUCACCAUUCAAGGUCAUGUGCCCUGAAAAUGGACGGGGCUAAGCAAAUCACCGAUACCAUAGUCCUCCGAAAGGAGUGAGGUAGGCAGUGCGCUCUGCGUGGGCAGAAGCAUUUUCGUAAGAAUUUGUGGACCGCGUAGAGAUGAGAAUCUUGGUAGUAGUAGGAUCUAUAUACGGUGAGAAUCCGUAAUUCCGAAAGCCCGAGGGUUUCUUCGCAAUGUUCGUCAGCGAAGAGUUAGUCGGUCCUAACCCAUGUCCUAAUUGGUCUAGAGGGAAGGGGAAACAGGUUAAAAUUCCUGUACUAUAUGUGUACGUGCGGCAACGCAAGGCAAGUUUUCGACAUUUCGGGCUACACCAACAACCGCCGUCGCGGUUGUUAAAUAAGAUAAAUCUGUUAAGUAUCGUAACGAUGAGACGCAGAUUAAAUUAUGAAUAGCGGCCCUAUGGGUCGUUUGGUAGAUGCCUGGAGUCCAUGAAAAGAAAGCAUGCAAGGAUCACAUAUAACCGUACCAAGAACCAGCACUGGUGUGGCUAGCUGAGAAAGCUAAGGAAUGAAGGUUUAAACUAGCUUAGGGAAUUCGACAAAUUGGCCCUGUGCCUUAGGUAUAAGGGGUCCCUGCGUCUGUAUGUUCAGCAUGCGGAUACAGGGUUCAAAGAUCAAGAUGGUCCGACUGUUUAAUAAAAACGUAGCGUUUCGCUAGUCUGCAAAGAUGUGUAUGGAACGUGACAUCUGCCCAGUGCCUGUAUCUCAAACUCCUCUACAAGGGAGCUAAGGACAGGUAAACGGCGGGAAUAACUAUGAUUCUCUUAAGGUAGCGCAAUACCCUGCCGAUUGAAUGUCGGCUCGCAUGAAUGGUGUAACGAGGCUGUCAGUGUCCCAAGCUAGUGUCCUCUGAAAAUACUGUACUGGUGUGAAGGCCAGUGACCUCCAGUGGGAAGCGAAGACCCCGUAGAACUUUACUACAACUUGUCGUUGUGGUACAAUACUCGGUAUAUAGUAUAAGUGGGAGCCGUUAUGUUCAACUCGUCAGGGUUGAUCUAGGCACCAGUGUAAUACCACUUUCCUUGUGUUGUAUCGCUAACUUUCUAAGAAAGGACAUCGACUGGCGGGUAGUUUGGCUGGGGCGGCACCAUGCUGAAAAGAUAUCAGUAUGGCCCAAAGGUAAGCUCAUUCGGUUUAGAAAUCCGAAGUAGAGUGUAAGAGCAAAAGCUUGCCUAACUGAUUUCCAACUAUUACGGAAGUCAGAGACGAAAGUCUGGUCUAGCGAACCCCUAUGUCCUUAUUGAUGAGGGCUAGGUAUGACAGAAAAGCUAUCUCGGGGAUAAUUGAGUUGUAGCGCCUAAGAGUUCAAAUCGACGGCGCUGCUUGCUACUUCGUUGUCGGCUCUUCGCAUCCUGGAAGUGCAGAAGCUUCCAAGGGUACGGGUGUUCACCGGUUAAAGCGGAUCGUGAGCUGGGUUAAGAACGUCGUGAGACAGUUUGUAUGAUAUCUACUGGAGGUGUUGAGGUCUGAGUGGAAGGAUCCUUUAGUACGAAAGGAACAAGGGUUCGGCGCCACUGGUGUACCAGUUGUCUGACAAGGCAGGCUGGGCAGCUACGCGCUAAGGGAUAAGAGCUGAAAGCAUCUAAGCUCGAAACCCGCCGCGAAAAUAGACUGAGAAUACCUGCAUAUCACAGGUUUGAUAGGGUCGGGGUGUAAGUAC
rnacentral:rRNA from 1 species